CCCCUGGUGAUCCAGUGGCUGAGACUCUAUGCUUCCAAUGCAGAGGGUCCAGGUUCAAUUCCUGGUCAGGGCA
rnacentral:tRNA from 1 species